GACGAACGCUGGCGGCGUGCUUAACACAUGCAAGUCGAACGGAAAGGCCCUGCUUUUGUGGGGUGCUCGAGUGGCGAACGGGUGAGUAACACGUGAGUAACCUGCUCUUGACUUUGGGAUAACUUCAGGAAACUGGGGCUAAUACCGGAUAGGAGCUCCUGCUGCAUGGAGGGGGUUGGAAAGUUUCGGCGGUUGGGGAUGGACUCGCGGCUUAUCAGCUUGUUGGUUGGGUAGUGGCUUACCAAGGCUUUGACGGGUAGCCGGCCUGAGAGGGUGACCGGCCACAUUGGGACUGAGAUACGGCCCAGACUCCUACGGGAGGCAGCAGUGGGGAAUAUUGCACAAUGGGCGGAAGCCUGAUGCAGCAACGCCGCGUGCGGGAUGACGGCCUUCGGGUUGUGAACCGCUUUCGCCUGUGACGAAGCGUGAGUGACGGUAAUGGGUAAAGAAGCACCGGCUAACUACGUG
rnacentral:rRNA from 1 species